rnacentral:lncRNA from 1 species
CAUCUAAAGGCACCAACCCUUGGUGCUUUUAGAUUUCUAGCCCUUAGAUUUAUCUUUCGACUACUAGUAGCCUUUAGAUCAAAUACUAUUUCAUAUACCACCACUAAAUCCAAGUGGGCUACUAUCAUCGUAGCCCUACAAACACCUCCAUCUAAGAGCUAGAAAUCUAAAAGUACCAACCUUUUGAUACUUUUAGAAGUAUUUUAGCUCAAUUAUAUAUAUUUCGAAAGAGAGAGAGAGAGAGAGAAUCGGGCUAUUAUAUUCUUAUAAAUACUGAGGCCUUCGUACUUGUAAGUCGUUUUUUAUGACAGAGCUUUUGAAUUGAUGAUCUAUACCGUUAAAUAUGAUUAAAAAUAUUUUGAAGUAUUUAGA